rnacentral:rRNA from 1 species
UCCAACUUGAGAGUUUGAUCCUGGCUCAGAGCGAACGCUGGCGGCAGGCUUAACACAUGCAAGUCGAACGGGCGUAGCAAUACGUCAGUGGCAGACGGGUGAGUAACGCGUGGGA